UUCCAUAACUAUUGGUCUGCAGCUGUUCUGCUGGUGGCAGUUGUGGCAUUCCUCUGUGGGAAAGGGAUUGUUACACGAUGAAACACCUCUUUCUUAAGAAAACGGAAAGUGGGCAUAUGUGUGGCAAACACAA